AUUGAACGCUGGCGGCAUGCCUUACACAUGCAAGUCGAACGGCAGCAUGGGUGCUUGCACCUGAUGGCGAGUGGCGAACGGGUGAGUAAUACAUCGGAACGUACCCGGAAGUGGGGGAUAACGUAGCGAAAGUUACGCUAAUACCGCAUAUUCUGUGAGCAGGAAAGAGGGGGAUCGCAAGACCUCUCGCUUUCGGAGCGGCCGAUGUCAGAUUAGCUAGUUGGUAGGGUAAAAGCCUACCAAGGCGACGAUCUGUAGCGGGUCUGAGAGGAUGAUCCGCCACACUGGGACUGAGACACGGCCCAGACUCCUACGGGAGGCAGCAGUGGGGAAUUUUGGACAAUGGGGGCAACCCUGAUCCAGCCAUGCCGCGUGAGUGAAGAAGGCCUUCGGGUUGUAAAGCUCUUUCGGCCGGGAAGAAAUCGCACAGGUUAAUACCUUGUGUGGAUGACGGUACCGGAAUAAGAAGCACCGGCUAAAUACGUGCCAGCCGCCGCCGUAAUAC
rnacentral:rRNA from 1 species